rnacentral:rRNA from 1 species
GACGAACGCUGGCGGCGUGCUUAACACAUGCCAGUCGAACGCGCCUGUCCUCUGGGUUUCUGGGGGGUGGGUGAGUGGCGAACGGGUGAGUAACACGUGAGUAACCUGCCCCCUUCUUCGGGAUAACGGUCUGAAAGGGCUGCUAAUACCGGGUAUUCACUGGUCUCCGCAUGGGGUCUGGUGGAAAGGUUUUUUUCUGGUGGGGGAUGGGCUCGCGGCCUAUCAGCUUGUUGGUGGGGUGAUGGCCCACCAAGGCUUUGACGGGUAGCCGGCCUGAGAGGGUGACCGGUCACAUUGGGACUGAGAUACGGCCCAGACUCCUACGGGAGGCAGCAGUGGGGAAUAUUGCACAAUGGGCGCAAGCCUGAUGCAGCGACGCCGCGUGAGGGAUGGAGGCCUUCGGGUUGUGAACCUCUUUCGCCCGUGGUCAAGCCGCGACGUGGGUCGUGGUGAGGGUAGUGGGUAAAGAAGCGCCGGCUAACUACGUG